GAUGAACGCUAGCGGCAGGCCUAAUACAUGCAAGUCGGACGGGAUUGAGAAGCUUGCUUUUCAUGAGAGUGGCGCACGGGUGCGUAACUCGUAUGUAACCUACCUUAAUCAGGGGGAUAGCCUCUCGAAAGAGAGAUUAACACCGCAUAAAAUCAAUUUAUGGCAUCAUAGAAUGAUCAAAUAUUUAUAGGAUUAAGAUGGGCAUGCGGAACAUUAGCUAGUUGGUAAGGUAACGGAUUACCAAGGCUACGAUGUUUAGGGGAUCUGAGAGGAUGACCCCCCACACUGGUACUGAGACACGGACCAGACUCCUACGGGAGGCAGCAGUAAGGAAUAUUGGUCAAUGGGCGCAAGCCUGAACCAGCCAUGCCGCGUGCAGGAAGACGGCCCUACGGGUUGUAAACUGCUUUUGUACCGGAAUAAACCUUUGUAUGUAUACGAAGCUGAAUGUACGGUAAGAAUAAGGAUCGGCUAACUCCGUGCCAGCCGCCGCCGUAA
rnacentral:rRNA from 1 species